rnacentral:lncRNA from 1 species
AAAAACAUGAUUUUUAACUGUUCAUGACCGUUAAUAUUCAAUCACUUCUACCACAGUUAUUUCAUUCACUUCUACCACAGUUCUUUCAUUCACUUCUACCACAGUUUUUUUCAAUCACUCCUACCACAGUUCUUUCAUUCACUUCUACCACAGUUCUUUCAUUCACUUCUACCACAGUUCUUUCAAUCACUCCUACCACAGUUCUUUCAAUCACUCCUACCACAUUCUUUCAAUCACGCCUAACACAGUUCUUUAAUCACUUCUACCACAGUUCUUUCA